rnacentral:rRNA from 1 species
UGGGAAUUUGGACAAUGGGCAACCGUGAUCCAGCAAUGCCGCGUGUGUGAAGAAGGCCUUCGGGUUGUAAAGCACUUUUGUCCGGAAAGAAAACGCCGUGGUUAAUACCCGUGGCGGAUGACGGUACCGGAAGAAUAAGCACCGGCUAACUACGUGCCAGCAGCCGCGGUAAUACGUAGGGUGCAAGCGUUAAUCGGAAUUACUGGGCGUAAAGCGUGCGCAGGCGGUCCGCUAAGACAGAUGUGAAAUCCCCGGGCUUAACCUGGGAACUGCAUUUGUGACUGGCGGGCUAGAGUAUGGCAGAGGGGGGUAGAAUUCCACGUGUAGCAGUGAAAUGCGUAGAGAUGUGGAGGAAUACCGAUGGCGAAGGCAGCCCCCUGGGCCAAUACUGACGCUCAUGCACGAAAGCGUGGGGGAGCAAACAGGAUUAGAUACCCUGGUAGUCCACGCCCUAAACGAU